UACGAAGGGGGCUAGCGUUGUUCGGAAUUACUGGGCGUAAAGCGCACGUAGGCGGACUUUUAAGUCAGAUGUGAAAUCCCCGAGGCUCAACCUCGGAACUGCAUUUGAAACUGGGAGUCUAGAGAUCAGGAGAGGUUAGCGGAAUACCGAGUGUAGAGGUGAAAUUCGUAGAUAUUCGGUGGAACACCAGUGGCGAAGGCGGCUAACUGGACUGAUACUGACGCAUGAGGUACGGAAAAGUGAUGGGGGAGCAAAGCACGGAUUAAGAUAACCCCCUGUAGUCCC
rnacentral:rRNA from 1 species